GUUCAGCCUCUUUUCUCGCCUACUCUCUCUCUUUCGAACUCUCUCUUAUUGUUAUUCUUUUUAUUUUUCCUACAAAAAUAAUAAUAAGGCUCUGCCUCGUUUUAAGUAUUAUAACUCCCAAUCAUCGCUACCCUUUCCGAUUGAUCUGAGUCCCAUAACGCAUGUCAAGGCUCUGCCCGACUAAGUUCGUUUGGAUUCUAUCUCGGGACUUCGGGACAAGGUUGAAUUAGGGGUAUUAUGCUUAACACGAGUACAUUAUAUAUUUUUAUAGCACAAAAGUUAUACCCAAAAUUUAUACCAGGAGUCCUUCUAGUUGAACCCUAAAGUUACACAGUGGGUCCAUUUCUUUUUUUCACCAUUUUAUUCUCUUUUUGUAAGUUACCCAAAACUAUUAUUUAUUAUUUAUUAUUUCUAUUUUAUAAACAAACUUUCAUCAAAAGUCAUGCCUAUUAUUUUAUUUACCCAAUAGGGAACCAUAGUUGAAACACCCAAGUAACCCUGCACAAAUCCUAAAAUUUUCAUAGCAAUCAGAAUCAAGAUCAGAGCCCCUAAAACUCAAAGGGGGCAAAACCUAGUUAACGAUUAUCUUCAUAAAAACGUUGUCUAAAUACUAUUGGCCGAAUUAUUGACUCAGCUAGCCUACUCCUAAGCGUGGCAACCCUAUGGUGAAAGGCGACCUGUCGCGCCACGCGACAGGAACAAGGGGACCCCUCGCGUGGCGCGAGGGGGACUAAAUUCCAGCUAUAAAUAAUAGAGGUUGGGACUGGCUUCUGUGCGUUGGUUCGACGAUAAAAUUCGAUUCCUACACCCAGAUAUCGUCGAAUUACUACAAUUAACACACACAAACCUCGAAACGCUGCCGCAAUCAGGGUAAUAACUCGAUCGCUAUUACGAUUCCUUUUCCGAUUAAUCAAUAUAUCCAAGGAAUGCCUAAGUGCCGCCCACAUUGGGCUAUGCUUUAUCGUUGUCGAUAAUUCGAUAAUGAGCCGAAGCAUUGUACUUUGUCGUUGUCGAUAAUUCGAUAUACGAGUUGAAGUACUAUACUUUGUCGUUUGUCAUUUUGAUAAAUGAGCUGAAGUAUUGCACUUGGACAUUCAUUGUAAAAAAUUGAUCUCGGGGAAUUAUCGUAACUGCUGUAUUGAUCAUUAACCUGGUUCUUGUAAAAUUCGUUAAGAGUUGAUUUAGGUUGUUCACCAAUACGUAUUCCAUUCUGUUAAAACCACCAAAAAUACUCCCAACUACACCCUUACAAUCAAACAAACUAUAAAAUCAUCAGAAGAUCCAGAAUAAUAAAGUGCGUGCUUAAUUAUCGGAAGAAAUAGAAUCAGGAAGUUUGUUAACUCAAUCCUGCAUGCUGAUUUGUAAUUACAGUAGAUUGGAGUAAGGAUUGGAUCCGGCACUAAAAGACUUCAAGAAGUGGCUUAUUUUCAAAUUAAGAAAUAUUGUUUUUAUUUAAAAGCUACCUUUGUAAAACAUGGAAUUUAUUCCAUCUUUUUAAAUAAAAUCCGGUGUUUCUAAACUCUGAUAUUUUUCCUAACACACGGUCCUGAUGAAAUUUCCGCUGCAAUGUUUUUUUAAAAUAAUCACCGGUACCACUGGACUGCUCACGGCACCGAUUCCGGCUAGAUGGGGUCGGGGGUCGUGACAUUAACCACAUUUAAACAUGUACUUUAUGCAACUUAUAGCAUACAAACUUCAAAAUACUUUCGUUAAUAACCAUAAAUGGAAAAAAACAACAACAUCUGCAAAUGAAACAAUAAUUUCAGAUUACUCGUGAUAAUUGAUAUUAGAUAUGUUCAACGAACUACAACUUUGCAUCCAUACGGACAUAAAAAAACUCAUCUGAAACUGAUUAAAUAAAUUAUAAUGUUAAAAACUAAAUAUAUCACAAUUUUUAUGAAAAGAGUAACUAAAAAGACAUUUAUAACAAAGAAUUUUCAGAUCAAAUAACAUGCAUAUCUGUGGAUGUAAAACAAAUAUCAAAAAGCUUGAUUAGCAUUAUGAUUGAACAAUUUAUUACAAACUUCCCGGUGAAUCGUAACAAAAUAAACGUAUAAACAGAGAGUAAGUGCGGUUAAGUUACCGAUUAGGAUAUGAUGCAACGAAGGUAUGAUCUCCCGGAACUUGAUUUUGCGUAGAACACAAUGGGUUUCUUCAAGA
rnacentral:lncRNA from 1 species